rnacentral:rRNA from 1 species
CCUACGGGCGGCAGCAGUGAGGAAUAUUGGUCAAUGGGCGGAAGCCUGAACCAGCCAAGUAGCGUGCGGGAUGAAGGCCCUACGGGUCGUAAACCGCUUUUGCACGGGGAUAACACCCUCCACUUGUGGAGGUCUGCAGGUACCGUGCGAAUAAGGGCCGUCUAAUUCCGUGACAGCAGCCGCGGUAAUACGGAAGGCCCGAGCGUUAUCCGGAUUCAUUGGGCGUAAAGGGAGCGUAGGCGGGCGUUCAAGUCAGCUGUAAAAGCGCGCGGCUCAACCGCGCCCCGCAGUUGAAACUGGACGCCUUGAGUUCACAACAGGCAGGCGGAAUUCGUGGUGUAGCGGUGAAAUGCAUAGAUAUCACGAGGAACCCCGAUUGCGAAGGCAGCCUGCCGGGGUGCGACUGACGCUGAGGCUCGAAGGUGCGGGUAUCAAACAGGAUUAGAUACCCUAGUAGUC